AACGAACGCUGGAGGCAUGCCUUAUACAUGCAAGUCGAACGCGAAAGUACCUUCGGGUAUCAGUAGAGUGGCAAACGGGUGAGUAACGCGUGGGAAUAUACCUUAUAGUAAGGAAUAGCCUCGGGAAACUGGGAAUAAAACCGUAUACGCUCUUAGGGGGAAAGAUUUAUCGCUAUAAGAUUAGCCCGCGUCAGAUUAGCUAGUUGGUGGGGUAACGGCCUACCAAGGCAACGUUCUGGAGCUGGUCUGAGAGGAUGACCAGCCACAUUGGGGCUGAGAUACUGCCCAAACUCCUACGGGAGGCAGCAGUAGGGAAUAUUGGACAAUGGGAGAAACCCUGAUCCAGCAAUGCCUCGUGAGUGAUGAAGGCCUUAGGAUUGUAAAGCUCUUUUAGUGGGGAAGAUAAUGACGGUACCCACAGAAAAAGCACCGGCUAACUCCGUGCCAGCAGCCGCCGUAA
rnacentral:rRNA from 1 species